AGGAGGUUAGGUUAAGGUAGACCGUUAGCCUUCAAAGCUAAAAGUGUGGGUUCAAGUCCCGCCCCUCCUGC
rnacentral:tRNA from 2 species